rnacentral:rRNA from 1 species
UGGGGAAUAUUGUACAAUGGGCGAAAGCCUGAUCCAGCCAUGCCGCGUGAGUGAUGAAGGCCCUAGGGUUGUAAAGCUCUUUUGUGCGGGAAGAUAAUGACGGUACCGCAAGAAUAAGCCCUGGCUAACUUCGUGCCAGCAGCCGCGGUAAUACGAAGGGGGCUAGCGUUGCUCGGAAUCACUGGGCGUAAAGGGUGCGUAGGCGGGUUUCUAAGUCAGAGGUGAAAGCCUGGAGCUCAACUCCAGAACUGCCUUUGAUACUGGAAGUCUUGAGUAUGGCAGAGGUGAGUGGAACUGCGAGUGUAGAGGUGAAAUUCGUAGAUAUUCGCAAGAACACCAGUGGCGAAGGCGGCUCACUGGGCCAUUACUGACGCUGAGGCACGAAAGCGUGGGGAGCAAA